rnacentral:rRNA from 1 species
UACAGAGGUCUCAAGCGUUGUUCGGAUUUACUGGGCGUAAAGGGCGCGUAGGCGGCCACCGCAAGUCGACUGUGAAAUCUCCGGGCUUAACCCGGAAAGGUCAGCCGAUACUGCGGGGCUAGAGUGCAGAAGGGGCAACUGGAAUUCUCGGUGUAGCGGUGAAAUGCGUAGAUAUCGAGAGGAACACCUGCGGCGAAGGCGGGUUGCGGGGCUGACACUGACGCUGAUGCGCGAAAGCUAGGGGAGCGA